UUCAUUUCGAAAGUCAAUAAUAUCUCUUUCUUCUUCCCCAAUCUCAUGUCAAACCCUAGCACGAUUAUGUGCAAAUCUACUUUGAUUUCCGCUGCUGGCAUGGUAUUGGAGCAAUAGAUAUCAUAUAUUCGGGGUCUACUGUAUCGUCCGAUGUUACCCCCAUUCAAUUUCACCGGAGCUAUAAUUUUUCGGCACAUUCGUCAGUUCCGACAAUUUUUUGGUUUUGGCAUAUUUUUUCCACGCGGUUUCGUCGUGGAUAAUCAUUUGGUGCUUUUCCGGUGAUUUGCCAUAAAAUUUUGGUACUUUUUCAAGCUCUUCGUGGAUCUAGGGUUUGCUAUUGGUGAAGCUGGUAUUUUUACUUCUCGUCUGUGUUCUUUUGAAGGCCGUACCUCUCCGGUUGCGAUGAGGAUCGGUGUUCCCGGACACAGUGGGUGUUGAUUUCUUCGCAAAGUUGAUUAUCCAGAGAUUCCGAGAUGGUGAGGAAACGUACUAUCGGAUUGGACAAUCAACCACCAGUGCCACCUGUUAGGACCGCGAGAGGUCGGGGCCGUGGUAGAGGACGGGGAUGAGGUGGAGGUCGAGGUGUAGCUCGUACAACAAUUAGAGCAACACCUAUAGCUCCACCAGUUGCUCCAGCUCAGGAGCAGAUUCCAGAUAUAGUUGAGACGGUGGGACCAGCUCAGGCACUA